UCAACGUGCAUUCCACAUUGGUUAAACGUGAUAUAAUUGAAAUGACGUGGAAACGACAUUGAUUUGACAAGUGUAUGCCCAGUGGGUAGAGACUUCAUGUAUUCACAAAUAGAACCUCCAGUUAACUGACUGCAGUACUGAGAAGAAAUGUGCAUACUUUAUCAAAACUGAAGAAAAACAAGUAUUGGGUAGUAUAUACCGGUAAACUAUGUUUUAUCUCGCUUUGCAGUGGAAUGAAGGACAUCAACGUCCUGUUUUUCCCAAGCUCAGACAUAUAAGGUUCUAAGAAAAACAUUGGACUGACUGUCAGCCUAUUAAACUGCAGUUUGAGUACCGAUCAGAUGACUAGACCGUCAGUUGUUAGCGAGAAGUCCUGGCCUCACUCUCCUAGAUCUGUCAGAAGACGACAUCAAGGCUGGUACUCUCAAGGCCCUGACUGACUCUCUACAGAAGCUGAACGUCUCCAAACAGAUUGUCCACAUAUCUGUUGAUGGGCUGAUGAUUCUGACCAGUUUCCUGUCUGUAUGUCUUGAUGUGGUUCAAGUGGACAUCAGUCUGACGGGCUGUGCUCUUCGUCUCCCUCACUUGGACCGUCUGUGUGAGAAUCUGAGGGACUGCUCUGCUCUGACUAUGCUGGAGUAAGUGUUCUCAGGGAGAGACUUUGGAGUGUGAAAUAGCAAUACGGAUAAUUGUUGGAAUGCACAUAUACAAGGACCUGUUUGUUUUUGUUCAUCACCCCCCACCGUUGUCAGUAUUUCCAACAAUGCUUUGGAAAACAAAGGUCUGAAGAAGUUGUUGGACCUCUUGCCUCAGCUUAGCAACAUACAGGAAAUCAAUGUCAGUGAGAAUGCAGUCAGCAUGGAAGGAGUUGUGCAGCCUAGCUGGAACCCUGUGCUCACACAGGAACAUGAGUGAAGUGAAUAUCAGAAUACUAUCAACGGGAUUGGAACAGUGUAAGAAACUCAGUCUAACUCACAGUGAUAUCCAUCCCACUGACAUGAACAAGCUAUGUAGAAGACUGGUACAGUGUCCCAGCCUACUUGAGCUAGA